rnacentral:lncRNA from 1 species
AGAAAAAAUAUAUAUAAGAAUUAUGGACGUAGGAACUUAUCUAUGGUAAAUAGAAAAUACUAUAAAAGAGGUGGAGGACUCAGUAACACAUAUUAUACAAGAAACAAUAAAAAUAUAAAUAACAAAUUUCAAGACAGGUCAUAUAGAAACAUAAAUGGGUAUGAUAAAUAUUCCAGAAAUAAUAAAGGAUAUAACAAUUAUAGAAAUAAUAAUAAUCAUAACAAUAAUAAUAAUAUUAAUAGAAGAAAUAAUUAUAGAAAUAAUUUAAGAAAAAACAAUUAUCAAAGAAAACCUCAAAACUUACAUGAUAAAGUUGGAAAAUUAACAUCCAAGGACUUGGAUACAGAAUUAGACAAAUACAUGGGAGCAAAUAACAUAAAAACCAGAUUAGAUAACGAUUUGGACUCAUAUUUUAAGACCACCGAUGGUGUAUAAAUUAAUGCCAAAAAGAAAUUGAUCAUAUACUACAAGACGACUUAUACUAUAUAUAUAUAUAUAUUACACUACUGAUUUACUUUAUCGAAACGAAUUUAAAAUUAUUAAAAUUAAAAAGAACAAAAAAGAAACCAAUUAAUUGAAAAUAUAAUAUAUUAACAUAUAUACAUGUAUAUACAUAUAUAUAUAUAUAUAUAUAUAUUAUAUGUAUAUGCAUAUAUAUUUGUACGUUAUAAUGUAUAUCAAAGAAAAAAAGAAUAUACAUACUUACUUACACAUAUAUAUAUAUAUAUAUGUAUAUGUGUAUGUAUGUAUGUACUUUUCUGUUCUAUUUUUUUAUUUACUUUUUUUUAUUUACUUUUUUUAUUUACCUUUUUUAUUUCUUUUUUUUUUUUUUAAUUAAUUAAUAUUGAAUGUUGAAACGGCCUAAAACAAUUAUGUCAUUACUUGUAUAAUAUUUUGAAAUUCAUACAUACGUAUAUAUAGUUAUAUAUACAUAUAUUAAUAUAUACAAAUAUAGUUCAUUUUUUAAAUUAAUUUUUGGACGUUCUCUUAUAUAUUACAAAUAUUAUGUAAACGUUUUUUUUUUUUUUUUUUUUUUUUUUUUUUUUUUUUUUUUUUUUUUUUACAACGGCAUAUCUUAUGCAUAAACACAGCAAGGCUAUUUAAAAACUUUUGAUGCACAUACAUACACGUAGGAACGUGCGUACAUAUAAAAUAUACUCACGGAUAU